GAAGCCGGAGCGCCAGCUUCGGUGGAGGCGGCGGUGGGAUACCACCCUGGCGAUAUUGAAAUUCUAACCCGCACCCCUUAGCGGGGUGGGAGACAGUGUCAGGCGGGCAGUUUGACUGGGGCGGUCGCCUCCCAAAAGGUAACGGAGGCGCCCAAAGGUUCCCUCAGAAUGGUUGGAAAUCAUUCGGAGAGUGCAAAGGCACAAGGGAGCUUGACUGCGAGACGGACAGGUCGAGCAGGGACGAAAGUCGGGCUUAGUGAUCCGGUGGUUCCGCAUGGAAGGGCCAUCGCUCAACGGAUAAAAGCUACCCCGGGGAUAACAGGCUGAUCUCCCCCAAGAGUCCACAUCGACGGGGAGGUUUGGCACCUCGAUGUCGGCUCAUCGCAUCCUGGGGCUGUAGUCGGUCCCAAGGGUUGGGCUGUUCGCCCAUUAAAGCGGUACGCGAGCUGGGUUCAGAACGUCGUGAGACAGUUCGGUCCCUAUCCGUCGCGGGCG
rnacentral:rRNA from 1 species